AAAGUUUUAUUUUGGCUAAAAAAUUUAUUUUUUAUAUAUUUUAUAUGUAAAUUUUUGUAUGGAUUAAUUUAUUUCUUAAUGAGUGUAAUUUAAUUAUAAUCGCAGUAUUUGAUUUUAAAUAUUAAAGAAAUUUAGAUUUGGUAAUAAAAAAUAGUAUAGGUUAAUUUUGUGCCAGCAUCCGCGGUUAUACAAAAUAUACAAAUGAAUUUUUUUAUUUUGUAGUUAAAUUAAUUUAAUUGUUAAAUUAAAUGUUUAUAAAUAAGGUGAAAUUUUUUAUAAAGAUAAAAUUUUUAGAUAAGUUAAUUGAGGCUAUUAGAUUUAAAUAAUAAACUAGGAUUAGAUACCCUAUUAUUUUAAAAUUAAAAAAUUUAUGAUUAGGUAGUAAUAGUUAUGAUCUUGAAACUUAAAAAAUUUGGCGGUAUUUUAAUCUAAUUAGAGGAAUCUGUUCCAUAAUCGAUAAUCCACGAUAAAUUUUACAUAAUUUGAUUUAGUUUGUAUAUCGUCGUUAUAAGAAAAUUUUAUAAGGAUAUUAAUUUUCUAAAUUUUGAAUUUGAAUUUAUUUCAGAUCAAGGUGCAGCUUAUAAUUAUGAGGAAAUGGAUUACAAUAAAUUUAUUUAUAUGAAUAGUAAAGUGAAUAUUUUAUUUGAAGGUGGAUUUAAUAGUAAAUUAAAUUAUAUAAUUUAAUUGAUUUUAGCUCUAAAAUAUGCACAUAUCGCCCGUCGCUCUCUUUUUUAAAAAGAGAUAAGUCGUAACAAAGUAGAUGUACUGGAAAGUGUAUCUAGAAUGAAUACA
rnacentral:ncRNA from 1 species